rnacentral:rRNA from 1 species
UACGUAGGGCGCAAGCGUUGUCCGGAAUUAUUGGGCGUAAAGAGCUCGUAGGCGGUCUGUCACGUCGGAAGUGAAAACCCGGGGCUUAACCCCGGGCUUGCUUUCGAUACGGGCAGACUAGAGUGUGGUAGGGGAGACUGGAAUUCCUGGUGUAGCGGUGAAAUGCGCAGAUAUCAGGAGGAACACCGGUGGCGAAGGCGGGUCUCUGGGCCACUACUGACGCUGAGGAGCGAAGGCGUGGGGAGCGAACAGG